UCCCACAUGGCCUAGCGGUUAGGAUUCCUGGUUUUCAUCCAGGCGGCCUGGGUUUGACUCCUGGGGUGGGAA
rfam:Oryctolagus cuniculus unplaced genomic scaffold chrTn0113, whole genome shotgun sequence.